CGGACAAAUCCUGAUAACGAUCCGUUAUGUCGACCUCCUUUUCGUGUCACGAUAACGAACAUUUAUACGAGACAUUAUACCAGAACACGUCAUUACAGAGUAACGAGCGUGUCGCAAUGAAAGUAAUAAAACGCGUCACAGGUGGAAUCUUAUGUGCUGCAUUGCUGUCUGGAGUGCAGCCAAGUAAAUCGUCGGCUCGGUGGGUGGGGGUUAUUUAAUUCUUUUACACUUCCUUUUUUGUUCAUUGGCGAAAUUUUAUUGGGAAUUAUCACAAGAGGUGGCCGACGCUGCAAUUAAUCUUUUCACGAUAGAUGUAGCUCGACCGUAGAGCUUUAGCAAUUUCAAUUGAUCAAGAUUUAUUCGUUCAUUAGUGUAUUGUAUUGUAGUAAACAGAUGUUAAAGCAACUAAGCGAAAUCUUCUUGCAAAAGAAAUCCCGUAAAGUGGGUGUAGUGUUGAUUGUGAGCAUCUCGCAGAGAUACACCAUCCGACAUGUCUGUUAUUUGCAGCCAAACUCUGUCCCCGUUUCGCAAAUUCAACGUCAUUUGCAAUGCGAUCUGACUGAAUUUAAAGUCCGUGUUCCUAGAGUUUGAAGCGUAACCUGUUCCCACUACGUCGCCGUUUAAAAAGAGACCCAUUUCCACGUAAACAAAGUCCGGGGACGAUGGGAAUUCAGCCAAACCGAUAAACGAGAAGUAAUGCGUUCCAGACCGAGGGGUCGUGAAUAUUCCCUGAAGCGAUUUCCAUGGCUUCUCCAGUAUUCACUUUUGAAAUUUCAAAGUGGAUCGGGAUACCAACAGCGGAGAAGGAAUUGUUCUUCUGAACGGAGAAGUAGGUCGGUACAGAUUUCACAUCACUGGAUCCAA